rnacentral:rRNA from 1 species
CAGCCGCCGCGGGAAUACAGAGGGUGCGAGCGUUAAUCGGAUUUACUGGGCGUAAAGCGUGCGUAGGCGGCUUCUUAAGUCGGAUGUGAAAUCCCUGAGCUUAACUUAGGAAUUGCAUUCGAUACUGGGAAGCUAGAGUAUGGGAGAGGAUGGUAGAAUUCCAGGUGUAGCGGUGAAAUGCGUAGAGAUCUGGAGGAAUACCGAUGGCGAAGGCAGCCAUCUGGCCUAAUACUGACGCUGAGGUACGAAAGCAUGGGGAGCAAACAGGAUUAGAUACCCCUGUAGUCCCUGUCUCUUAUAU